CCUACGGGAGGCAGCAGUGGGGAAUUUUGGACAAUGGGCGCAAGCCUGAUCCAGCCAUGCCGCGUGCAGGAUGAAGGCCUUCGGGUUGUAAACUGCUUUUGUACGGAACGAAAAGACUUGUCUUAAUACGAUGGGUCCAUGACGGUACCGUAAGAAUAAGCACCGGCUAACUACGUGCCAGCAGCCGCGGUAAUACGUAGGGUGCAAGCGUUAAUCGGAAUUACUGGGCGUAAAGCGUGCGCAGGCGGUAAUGUAAGACAGAUGUGAAAUCCCCGGGCUCAACCUGGGAACUGCAUUUGUGACUGCAUUGCUGGAGUGCGGCAGAGGGGGAUGGAAUUCCGCGUGUAGCAGUGAAAUGCGUAGAUAUGCGGAGGAACACCGAUGGCGAAGGCAAUCCCCUGGGCCUGCACUGACGCUCAUGCACGAAAGCGUGGGGAGCAAACAGGAUUAGAUACCCUGGUAGUCCACGCCCUAAACGAUGUCAACUGGUUGUUGGGUCUUCAUUGACUCAGUAACGAAGCUAACGCGUGAAGUUGACCGCCUGGGGAGUACGGCCGCGAAGGUUGAAACGUUCGAAAGGAUUGACGG
rnacentral:rRNA from 1 species